AAAGGAAUUGACGGGGGCCCGCACAAGUAGCGGAGCAUGUGGUUUAAUUCGAAGCAACGCGAAGAACCUUACCUAGACUUGACAUAUUCUGCAUUACUCUUAAUCGAGGAAGUCCCUUCGGGGACAGAAAUACAGGUGGUGCAUGGUUGUCGUCAGCUCGUGUCGUGAGAUGUUGGGUUAAGUCCCGCAACGAGCGCAACCCCUAUUGUUAGUUGCUACCAUUAAGUUGAGCACUCUAGCGAGACUGCCUGGGUUAACCAGGAGGAAGGUGGGGAUGACGUCAAAUCAUCAUGCCCCUUAUGUCUAGGGCUACACACGUGCUACAAUGGCAAGUACAGAAAGAUGCGAACUCGUGAGGGUGAGCUAAACUCAAAAACUUGUCUCAGUUCGGAUUGUAGGCUGAAACUCGCCUACAUGAAGCUGGAGUUACUAGUAAUCGCGAAUCAGAAUGUCGCGGUGAAUACGUUCCCGGGCCUUGUACACACCGCCCGU
rnacentral:rRNA from 1 species